UCUGGUGGCUAUAGCGAAGAGGUCACACCUGUUCCCAUGCCGAACACAGUAGUUAAGCUCUUUUGCGCCGAUGGUAGUUGGGACUUUGUCCCUGUGAGAGUAGGACGUUGCCAGGC
rnacentral:rRNA from 1 species